rnacentral:rRNA from 1 species
UACGUAGGGUGCAAGCGUUGUCCGGAAUUAUUGGGCGUAAAGAGCUCGUAGGCGGUUUGUCGCGUCUGCUGUGAAAACCCGAGGCUCAACCUCGGGCCUGCAGUGGGUACGGGCAGACUAGAGUGCGGUAGGGGAGAUUGGAAUUCCUGGUGUAGCGGUGAAAUGCGCAGAUAUCAGGAGGAACACCGAUGGCGAAGGCAGGUCUCUGGGCCACUACUGACGCUGAGAAGCGAAAGCAUGGGGAGCGAAUGGG